rnacentral:misc_RNA from 1 species
GAUGAAGAACGUAGCGAAAUGCGAUAAGUAAUGUGAAUUGCAGAAUUCAGUGAAUCAUCGAAUCUUUGAACGCACAUUGCGCCCCUUGGUAUUCCGAGGGGCAUGCCUGUUCGAGCGUCAUUUCAACCCUCAAGCACAGCUUGGUCUUGGGCUUCGCCGCUAACCCGGCGGGUCUUAAAAUCAGUGGCGGUGCCGUCGGGCCCUGAGCGCAGUAAUCUCUCUCGCUAUAGGGUCCCGGCGGAUGCUGGCCAGUAACCCCCAAUUUUCUAUGGUUGACCUCGGAUCAGGUAGGACUACCCGCUGAACUUAAGCAUAUCAUAAGCGGAGGA